rfam:Arabis alpina cultivar Pajares chromosome 3, whole genome shotgun sequence.
AUCUUUGCGCUUGGGGCAAUGACGCAGCUAAUGAGGUACUAACCGAGGCGCGUCUAUUGCUGGUUGAAAACUAUUUCCAAACCCCCUCUUUUGUCUGGGCUAGUCUCAGGCUUUAGAGAAUUUCUGGAAGGGCUCCCUCUGGGGUAAAGCC